UCUCCUGGAAACGGGUGGUAAUGCCGGAUGCUCCAGUUGAUCGCAUGGUCUUCUGGGAAAGCUUUCGCGGUAUGGGAUGGGGUCGCGUCCUAUCAGCUUGACGGCGGGGUAACGGCCCACCGUGGCUUCGACGGGUAGCCGGCCUGAGAGGGCGACCGGCCACAUUGGGACUGAGAUACGGCCCAGACUCCUACGGGAGGCAGCAGUGGGGAAUAUUGCACAAUGGGCGCAAGCCUGAUGCAGCGACGCCGCGUGAGGGAUGGAGGCCUUCGGGUUGUAAACCUCUUUUAUCGGGGAGCAAGCGUGAGUGAGUUUACCCGUUGAAUAAGCACCGGCUAACUACGUGCCAGCAGCCGCGGUAAUACGUAGGGUGCAAGCGUUAUCCGGAAUUAUUGGGCGUAAAGGGCUCGUAGGCGGUUCGUCGCGUCCGGUGUGAAAGUCCAUCGCUUAACGGUGGAUCCGCGCCGGGUACGGGCGGGCUUGAGUGCGGUAGGGGAGACUGGAAUUCCCGGUGUAACGGUGGAAUGUGUAGAUAUCGGAAAGAACACC
rnacentral:rRNA from 1 species